UGGGAGGAAAUCCCACCCCUCACUCCCUGUGUUUGGUUAGAGAAAGGGCAUGCACUUCUAGAGUGGGAGCUUAGCAAUUUUGAAGUGGGGAUGGGGGCUGGCUGUAGGCUACUUUAUCAGCCAGUGGCCACAGACGUAGGAUUGGAAAGAGGUGCCCCGUGGCUGAGGCUGGAGUAAGCCAGCCCAAAGGUGCCUUGGACACGGGGUUAGGGAUAGGCCUAGGGAGAAGGAGCAUAGGUGGCUGCAGCCAGGCUGGGAAAGUGGCCCAGGCCCUGCCUGGGAGUCUUGACUAGAACGGUAGCCAUGGCGAUGAAGGCCUCUGAUACAGUAGAGACGGGGAGCUCCCAUUGCACCCAAGCACCAGGGAUCACUGGUGAGAGCACCUGCCUUUUAUCCUGAUUCCCUAAAUAAAGAAUAUGGAACAGGCCUUCUGCUGCUAUGAAUCUUCCCUGGGAAAUCACUGAUGUUUGAUCUCAAGAUAAAGGAAAUUUAAGAGGAAGAAGAUUUACAAACAACUGAAUUAAGACCAGAACAUUAAGAAGACUUAAACCCUACAGACAAUUGCAAAUCUGGAACUGGCAGCUAAUCAGUGGCGUUCUGCAGAACAAAUGAAACGACUUGCAACCCUAAUGCUGACUCCUCUGAAAUACCAACCAGCAUCUCCUGCUGCUGUGGGUGAGAGGCCUGGAAGGCGAUUCAUUCGCUCCCUGCCAGAUUGAAAUUUGCAUCUGCAUUCAGAAUCUAUUCUCCUCUGCAAUGAAAGGGAAUCUGGACUAUUCUGCAUCUUCUGAACUCACCUUGGAAGAGACGGAGAUAGGCGGGAAUCAUGGUGGGAACACCAGGUGUGCUUUCUACAUGGCACCAAGAUUUCCUACUUAACAAAUGGAUGGGAAAGAGGUGGAGAAGGGAGUGUGAUGCGGUGUGCUUGCCUCACACUGGUUCAGCAGGGGUUAAACCCACUGUGAGCCAAGGAGACCACGCCCCCUUGGCCCUGCUGAGCAUGCUCCAGCUGGAACCCAGGUAUAAAAGGGAGCUGAGCUGCUCAGUUGGGGCUGACCGCUGAGGAGGGGGGGGGGGGGAUGCAGUUGCUGGUUCCAGCCCAAGAACUGUUGAAUCUCCAGAGCACAGAAGCCAAGCCUGCCGAGACCCAGGCAGACACUGGGAUGAUGGAGGACUCCCCAGAGAGGAGGGAGCUGCCAGGAACUGCCCUAGCCAAGGAAUCCAGAAACCCCAGAGAUGCCUGUAGCACUGCACGACGGGCCCCGCUUUGUGCUUCAGGCUUAACAAGCAUUUCAACUUCCUUGUGGUCUUCCAAGAUCAGUCCCUUGUAUUAUGCUGCCUUCCCCAGCCACGUUGAUCCAGGCAGUGCCUUUUAAAUGGAAGAGGCCUCAUUCUGCCACACGCCUUGCACUGAGCCAGAGCUACAUCAAAGGUGCCAUCCCAGUAAAGACAUCUAGGAAAAGCUGGCUGCUGGAAGCAGUUUUCCCUCCUCUGAGUAAUAAAAUGCACCUUUCCUGAAAAAUCAGGUUUUCUAGGGAGGGGAGAAGGGCCAGGGUGCUCCUCUGAAGCUGGUGUGCAUGCCUUAUAUCUGCAUGUGCAUUUGUGCCAAGCUCUAAGGGAGAGGCCAGAUAGCAGAGCAAGGGCUGGGACACAAAAAGAACCCUUUUCAGCCAUUCCUCCUGAGGGGGGAAAGGAACAGGGAAUGAGAGGGGGCUCGGAGCCAAAGAGCCCUUCUCCCUGGG